GCCUGGGUGGCUCAGUCGGUUGAGCGUCUGACUUCAGCUCAGGUCAUGAUCUCACAGUCUGUGAGUUCGAGCCCCACGUUGGGCU
rnacentral:tRNA from 1 species